UCGAGCGAGAAGGUGUAGUGAUACACUUGUAAAGCGGCGAACGGGUGAGGAAUACAUGGGUAAUCUACCAUCGAGUGGGGAAUAACCAACCGAAAGGUUGGCUAAUACCGCGUACGCCUCCGGAUCUUCGGGUUCGGAGGGAAAGCUGCACUGUGAGUGUAGCGCUCUUUGAUGAGCUCAUGUCCUAUCAGCUUGUUGGUAGGGUAACGGCCUACCAAGGCUUUGACGGGUAGCUGGUCUGAGAGGACGAUCAGCCACACUGGCACUGCGACACGGGCCAGACUCCUACGGGAGGCAGCAGUAAGGAAUAUUGCGCAAUGGGCGAAAGCCUGACGCAGCGACGCCGCGUGGGGGAUGAAGGUCUUCGGAUUGUAAACCCCUUUCGGGAGGGAAGAUGGAGCGAGCAAUCGUUCGGACGGUACCUCCAGGAGCAGCCACGGCCAACUUCGUGCCAGCAGCCGCGGUAAUACGAAGGUGGCAAGCGUUGUUCGGAUUCACUGGGCGUACAGGGUGUGUAGGCGGUUUGGUAAGCCUUCUGUUAAAGCUUCGGGCCCAACCCGGAAAGCGCAGAGGGUACUGCCAGGCUAGAGGGUGGGAGAGGAGCGCGGAAUUCCCGGUGUAGCGGUGAAAUGCGUAGAGAUCGGGAGGAAGGCCGGUGGCGAAGGCGGCGCUCUGGAACAUACCUGACGCUGAGACACGAAAGCGUGGGGAGCAAACAGGAUUAGAUACCCUGGUAGUCCACGCCCUAAACUAUGGAUACUAAGUGUCGGCGGGUUACCGCCGGUGCCGCAGCUAACGCAUUAAGUAUCCCGCCUGGGAAGUACGGC
rnacentral:rRNA from 1 species